rnacentral:tRNA from 1 species
UGGAAUAUAGCUCAGUGGUGCAGCAUUUGCCUGGCAAGCAUAAGUCCCUGAGUUCGAUUCCCAGUACAA